rnacentral:rRNA from 1 species
ACCCCUUUUUUUGUGAACAUACCUAUAACUGUUGCUUCGGCGGGUAGGGUCUCCGCGACCCUCCCGGCCUCCCGCCUCCGGGCGGGUCGGCGCCCGCCGGAGGAUAACCAAACUCUGAUUUAACGACGUUUCUUCUGAGUGGUACAAGCAAAUAAUCAAAACUUUUAACAACGGAUCUCUUGGUUCUGGCAUCGAUGAAGAACGCAGCGAAAUGCGAUAAGUAAUGUGAAUUGCAGAAUUCAGUGAAUCAUCGAAUCUUUGAACGCACAUUGCGCCCGCCAGCAUUCUGGCGGGCAUGCCUGUUCGAGCGUCAUUUCAACCCUCAAGCUCUGCUUGGUGUUGGGGCCCUACAGCUGAUGUAGGCCCUCAAAGGUAGUGGCGGACCCUCCCGGAGCCUCCUUUGCGUAGUAACUUUACGUCUCGCACUGGGAUCCGGAGGGACUCUUGCCGUAAAAACCCCCAAUUUUCCAAAGGUUGACCUCGGAUCAGGUAGGAAUACCCGCUGAACUUAAGCAUAUCAAUAAGGCGGAGGAA